rnacentral:tRNA from 1 species
GGGGUUAUAGCUCAGUGGUAGAGCGUGUACUUGGCAUGCAUGAGGUCCUGAGUUCAAUCCUCAGUGCCUCUG